GACGGACGCUGGCGGCGUGCCUAACACAUGCAAGUCGAGCGAAUGAAGUUCCUUCGGGAAUGGAUUUAGCGGCGGACGGGUGAGUAACACGUGGGCAACCUGCCUCAUAGAGGGGAAUAGCCUUCCGAAAGGGAGAUUAAUACCGCAUAAGAUUGUAGUAUCGCAUGAUACAGCAAUUAAAGGAGCAAUCCGCUAUGAGAUGGGCCCGCGGCGCAUUAGCUAGUUGGUGAGGUAACGGCUCACCAAGGCGACGAUGCGUAGCCGACCUGAGAGGGUGAUCGGCCACAUUGGGACUGAGACACGGCCCAGACUCCUACGGGAGGCAGCAGUGGGGAAUAUUGCACAAUGGGGGAAACCCUGAUGCAGCAACGCCGCGUGAGUGAUGACGGCCUUCGGGUUGUAAAGCUCUGUCUUCAGGGACGAUAAUGACGGUACCUGAGGAGGAAGCCACGGCUAACUACGUG
rnacentral:rRNA from 1 species